rnacentral:rRNA from 1 species
GCUGGCGGCGUGCCUAACACAUGCAAGUCGAACGCGCUCCAUUCGGUAGCAAUACUGAUGAAGAGCGAGUGGCGAACGGGUGAGUAGCACGUGAGCAACCUGCCCCGAAGACUGGGACAACACCGGGAAACCGGUGCUAAUACCGGAUACCCCUAUCGGACCGCAUGAUUCGAUAAGGAAACGUUUUUUCGCUUCGGGAGGGGCUCGCGGCCUAUCAGCUUGUUGGUGGGGUAAUGGCCCACCAAGGCAUCGACGGGUAGCUGGUCUGAGAGGACGAUCAGCCACACUGGGACUGAGACACGGCCCAGACUCCUACGGGAGGCAGCAGUGGGGAAUCUUGCGCAAUGGGCGAAAGCCUGACGCAGCAACGCCGCGUGGAGGACGAAGGCUUUCUGAGUUGUAAACUCCUUUCAGCAGGGACGAUUGUGACGGUACCUGCAGAAGAAGCACCGGCCAACUACGUGCCAGCAGCCGCGGUGAUACGUAGGGUGCAAGCGUUGUCCGGAUUUAUUGGGCGUAAAGAGCU